rnacentral:rRNA from 1 species
ACGAACGCUGGCGGCGUGGAUAAGACAUGCAAGUCGAACGGAAUGUUUGGUAGCAAUAUCAAUGCAUUCAGUGGCGAACGGGUGCGUAACACGUGGGUCACAUUCCGGGAAGUGGGGAAUAGCCCAGGGAAACUUGGAUUAAUACCCCAUGUGGUCGCAAGACCAAAGGCGCAAGCCGCUUCCUGAUUGGCCCGCGGCCUAUCAGCUAGUUGGUGGGGUAAUGGCUCACCAAGGCAACGACGGGUAGCUGGUCUAAGAGGACGACCAGCCACACUGGAACUGAGACACGGUCCAGACACCUACGGGUGGCAGCAGUCGAGAAUCUUUCACAAUGGGGGAAACCCUGAUGGAGCGACGCCGCGUGGAGGAUAAGGUCUUCGGAUUGUAAACUCCUGUCAUGCGAGAACAAAGCCUCACGGCCUGAUAGUAUCGCAAGAGGAAGAGACGGCUAACUCUGU